rnacentral:rRNA from 1 species
GACGAACGCUGGCGGCGUGCUUAACACAUGCAAGUCGAACGGAAAGGCCCUGCUUUUGUGGGGUGCUCGAGUGGCGAACGGGUGAGUAACACGUGAGUAACCUGCCCUUGACUUUGGGAUAACUUCAGGAAACUGGGGCUAAUACCGGAUAGGAGCUCCUGAUGCAUGGUGGGGGUUGGAAAGUUUCGGCGGUUGGGGAUGGACUCGCGGCUUAUCAGCUUGUUGGCGGGGUAGUGGCUUACCAAGGCUUUGACGGGUAGCCGGCCUGAGAGGGUGACCGGCCACAAUGGGACUGAGAUACGGCCCAGACUCCUACGGGAGGCAGCAGUGGGGAAUAUUGCACAAUGGGCGGAAGCCUGAUGCAGCAACGCCGCGUGCGGGAUGACGGCCUUCGGGUUGUAAACCGCUUUCGCCUGUGACGAAGCGUGAGUGACGGUAAUGGGUAAAGAAGCACCGGCUAACUACGUG